rnacentral:tRNA from 1 species
GCAUCUUUUGCGCGGACGGCGCGUUGCUGGUGCCGAAGUUCGAGUGCGACAGCAGCGCGAUCUUCGGUUCGAUGCCGAAACGGCGCAC